ensembl:snRNA U6 U6 spliceosomal RNA
GUGCUCACUUUGGCUGCACAUGUACUAAAAAAUUGGAACAAUACAGAGAGGAUUAGCAUGGCCCUUGCAUAAGGAUGACACAUAAAUUCAUGAAGCAUUCCAUAUUUUC